CUCCGAUGACAGUGAAGAAUGGGUGUAUGAAGAUGACACGUUGUCACUAUCAGCUGAAAAUCUGAGUCAGAUCAAAGCUACCUCUAUGGCUGAGAUGUUUGAUAGCAACUCUUCUGCUCAUCAUCCUUUCAGCGACUGGAGUAUUGAAGACAUCCAGACACACGAGGCAGAAAGCUUCCAGUUUGCAGACGUUGAUCUUCUGCCACCUCCAGCACUUUACGCCGACUCUCUGUGAGUCCGUGUGACUUAGAUUGUAUUCUUGACCAAGGACAUCCUCAUUUCUUCAGGAAGCAGUGUUUGAAAACUAGCUGUCUAGCGCUGGCCUUUAGUCUUCAGAGAUCAUCAAAUCAGACUUGAUUCUCAAAUAGAUGCCAGCUUAGUGGUUUUAAUGAUGUGAGGGUGUGGCACUUUUUCAUUUCAACUGUUAAAUUGCAAAACUGAAGCUAUUUUUGAAGGAAUUGAGAGUGACUUUAGUUUUGCGUGCUGUCUACACAAUGCACAUUGGAAGUUGGUGGAUUGGUUACAUGUUUGUUUAAUAAUGAAAACACAACUUGAAUGGAAUAAACGGAUGUGAAUACAGCAGUGAGUCUGACCACUUUACUCCUUAAAUGAUAAAAGGGUUUACGUUAUGAGCUAUAUGUACAGUUUUAUGUCAUUCUCUGCUGCUGCCGCACUAUUUUUAGAUAUAUUCCAAGAUAUAAUUAAUUUAAAUAAUUUAUCUAUAGAAAUAAAUGUGAAACUAAAUAUGUAAACGUAUAAACAAAUAAAUUUACUAAAAGCAAAUUAAUACAUGUGUGGCUAAAUUGUAUGAAAAUAAAAUACAAAUUGUCCAUAUUGAGUAAAGAAUAGAUUUUUGUCAUUUACAUACUCUUAUCGGCCGAUUUUAUUUUUAAAGCCCCG
rnacentral:lncRNA from 1 species